GGGAGUCGCUGCUUUUCUUUCUUCUUCCCUUCUUUUCUUCGUCUUCUAUCGUUUACAGUUUGUCACUCUGCUACUUUCCUUUUCUCACACAGAGGCGGGUUCUGUUUCUAUGGCGGAGCAGUGAAGGAGACUCAGGUGUGGCUUCUGAUUGGCUGGUAUAAAAACCUGAACCCACACCAGACCUUUCCUGAUAAUAUUGGACACCCCUUUUGGAGAGCAUUCUUUUAGCACAUAAGCCUAAAAAACAGGUGCUGACCAGUGUGGGAACCGGCUACCUCGGAUCAUAUUUCAGAGAUUUCGACACUAUGCUUGUUCAAAUUCAGCAAAAAAG